UACGUAGGUGGCAAGCGUUAUCCGGAAUUAUUGGGCGUAAAGAGCUUGUAGGCGGUUUGUCGCGUCUGCUGUGAAAUCUCAAGGCUCAACCUUGAGCUUGCAGUGGGUACGGGCAGACUAGAGUGUGGUAGGGGAGACUGGAAUUCCUGGUGUAGCGGUGAAAUGCGCAGAUAUCAGGAGGAACACCGAUGGCGAAGGCAGGUCUCUGGGCCACUACUGACGCUGAGAAGCGAAAGCAUGGGGAGCGAACAGG
rnacentral:rRNA from 1 species